UACGUAGGGUGCAAGCGUUAAUCGGAAUUACUGGGCGUAAAGCGUGCGCAGGCGGCUUUGCAAGACAGAUGUGAAAUCCCCGGGCUUAACCUGGGAACUGCAUUUGUGACUGCAUGGCUGGAGUGCGGCAGAGGGGGAUGGAAUUCCGCGUGUAGCAGUGAAAUGCGUAGAUAUGCGGAGGAACACCGGUGGCGAAGGCGGCGAUCUGGACGAUGACUGACGCUGAGACGCGAAAGCGUGGGGAGCAAACAGG
rnacentral:rRNA from 1 species